rnacentral:rRNA from 1 species
CCCAGUAAACGGCGGCCGUAACUAUAACGGUCCUAAGGUAGCGAAAUUCCUUGUCGGGUAAGUUCCGACCUGCACGAAUGGCGUAACGAUCUCCCCGCUGUCUCUGAUGUGGACUCAGCGAAAUUGAACUGUGUGUCAAGAUGCACACUUCCCGCGGUUAGACGGAAAGACCCCAUGAACCUUUACUAUAGCUUCGCACUGGCAUCAGGAUUGUGAUGUGCAGGAUAGGUGGUAGGCAUCGAAGCGGGGACGCCAGUUCCCGUGGAGCCAACCUUGAGAUACCACCCUUCGCCAUCUUGAUGUCUAACCGCGGCCCGUUAUCCGGGUCCGGGACCCUGCGUGGUGGGUAGUUUGACUGGGGCGGUCGCCUCCCAAACAGUAACGGAGGCGCGCGAUGGUGGGCUCAGACCGGUCGGAAAUCGGUCGUCGAGUGCAAUGGCAGAAGCCCGCCUGACUGCAAGACUGACAAGUCGAGCAGAGACGAAAGUCGGCCAUAGUGAUCCGGUGGUCCCGAGUGGAAGGGCCAUCGCUCAACGGAUAAAAGGUACUCUGGGGAUAACAGGCUGAUGAUGCCCAAGAGUCCAUAUCGACGGCAUCGUUUGGCACCUCGAUGUCGGCUCAUCUCAUCCUGGGGCUGGAGCAGGUCCCAAGGGUAUGGCUGUUCGCCAUUUAAAGAGGUACGUGAGCUGGGUUUAGAACGUCGUGAGACAGUUCGGUCCCUAUCUGCCGUGGGUGUAGGAGACUUGAGAAGAGUUGCCCCUAGUACGAGAGGACCGGGGUGAACGAUCCACUGGUGGACCAGUUGUCGUGCCAACGGCAGUGCUGGGUAGCUAUGAUCGGACAGGAUAACCGCUGAAGGCAUCUAAGCGGGAAGCCCCCUUCAAAACAAGGUCUCCCUUGAGGGCCGUGGAAGACCACCACGUCGAUAGGCCAGAGGUGUAAGCGCAGCAAUGCGUUCAGCUGACUGGUACUAAUUGCCCGAUAGGCUUGAUCUG